GACGAACGCUGGCGGCGUGCUUAACACAUGCAAGUCGAACGGUAAGGCCCUUCGGGGUACACGAGUGGCGAACGGGUGAGUAACACGUGGGUGAUCUGCCCUGCACUUCGGGAUAAGCCUGGGAAACUGGGUCUAAUACCGGAUAGGACCACUGCCUGCAUGGGUGGUGGUGGAAAGCUUUUGCGGUGUGGGAUGGGCCCGCGGCCUAUCAGCUUGUUGGUGGGGUGAUGGCCUACCAAGGCGACGACGGGUAGCCGGCCUGAGAGGGUGACCGGCAACAGUGGGACUGAGGUACGGCCCAGAAUCCUACGGGAGGCAGCAGGGGGGAAUAUUGCACAAUGGGCGCAAGCCUGAUGCAGCGACGCCGCGUGAGGGAUGACGGCCUUCGGGUUGUAAACCUCUUUCAGCACCGACGAAGCGCAAGUGACGGUAGGUGCAGAAGAAGGACCGGCCAACUACGUGCCAGCCGCCGCCGUAA
rnacentral:rRNA from 1 species